rnacentral:rRNA from 1 species
ACGCUCGACACCUACUGGAGGCAGCAGUGGGGGAUAUUGCACAAUGGAGGAAACUCUGAUGCAGCGACGCCGCGUGAGGGAAGAAGGUUUUCGGAUUGUAAACCUCUGUCUUCGGUGACGAAAAUGACGGUAGCCGAGGAGGAAGCCACGGCUAACUACGUGCCAGCAGCCACGGUAAUCUGAGCGGCUGGCAAGGC